CAGAUCGCGAUGGACACACCAGGACUGGAGCACUGGGGAGAUAUCACAAUCCUCGUCGGAUAUUUCCUGAUUGUACUGGCAGUGGGCUUGUGGUCACUAUGCCGACCAGACCGAGGCAGCGUCAAGAGCUACUUUCUCGCCGGAAGGAGUAUGACCUGGUUUCCGGUUGGGGCGUCCCUUUUCUCCAGCAACAUCGGCAGCGAACACUUCGUCGGCCUGGCUGGCACGGGAGCUGCAGCAGGAAUAGCCAUGGUAUCGUAUGAGUGGAUGUCUAUGCCCCUUGUUCUGUGUCUAGGAUGGUUGUUCCUGCCAGUUUACACAUCAGCCGGGGUGUACACCCUCCCGGAGUAUAUGGAGAAGAGGUUUGGGGGUCAGCGUCUGCGGCUGUAUCUCAGCGUCCUGUCACUCGUGCUGUACAUCGUCACCAAACUUGCGGUAAGCAUCUACGCUGGAGGUCUGUUCAUCAAGCUGGCUCUUGGAUGGAACAUGUACAUCUCUAUUGUGGGGCUUCUUGUCAUCACGGGCAUAUACACUAUACUAGGUGGCCUGGCAGCUGUGAUCUACACAGACACGUUCCAGACAGUCGUCAUGACAAUCGGCUCCAUCAUCCUGGCAGUCCUAGGGUUUGUCGAGAUAGGCGGAUUCGACAACCUCGAGCACCGAUAUAUGAACGCUGUUCCCAGCGUGAGAGGUAACAACACGACUUGCGGCUACCCCAGGGACGACGCCUUCCACAUUCUACGUGACCCCCUCUACUCAGACAACCCCUGGCCUGGACUGCUGCUCCAGUCGUCGAUAGGCUGUCUUUGGUACUGGUGCUGUGACCAGGUCAUCGUACAGCGGUCCUUGGCGGCCAAGAAUUUGUCUCACGCCAAAGGGGGAUCAAUUCUGUCGGGGUACCUCAAGCUGCUCCCCCUGAUCCUCAUGAUCUAUCCAGGGAUGAUCAGUCGGGCACUCUAUCCAGAUUCCGUGGGCUGUGUUGACCCUGCGGAAUGUGAGCGGUACUGCGAGAACCCCGUCGGUUGCUCCAACAUCGCCUACCCGAAGCUGGUGCUGGAGAUCAUGCCAAUAGGUCUCCGCGGUCUCAUGAUGGCGGUGAUGCUGUCGGCCAUCAUGAGUUCACUCACCUCCAUCUUCAACAGCGCCAGCACUCUCUUCACCAUGGACCUGUGGCGGCGCAUGCGCCCGAGAGCCCGGCAGAGGGAGCUGCUCAUAGUUGGAAGGCUGUCGGUGGUGUUUCUGUGUGCAGUCAGUAUUCUGUGGAUCCCCAUGGUCAAGUCCUCAGCGGGGGGACAACUCUUCACCUACAUCCAGGCCGUACAGGGUUAUCUGGGAACGCCGAUAGGGGCGCUGUUCCUGGGGGCUAUUUUGUGGCCAAGAAUGAACGAGAAGGGAGCGUUUUGGGGAAUUCUACUCGGACACACAUGCGGGGUAAUACGGAUGGCGAUAGACUUCGCCUUCCCCGCCCCUGACUGCGGGGACCCAGACACCCGCCCCGCCAUCCUCUCCAAAGUACACUACUCCUACUUCGGCUCCCUCAGUAUCGUCAUCACCUCCAUCGCCAUCGUCGUCUUCAGCCUCGUGUCGGAGAAACCGUCCAAGAAACAGCUGCGUGGAGUGACGUGGUGGACUCGGAUAGACAAGCUCCGGGACGACGGUGACAUCGAGGUGAAGCCCAGCACACCCGCCAAUGGCCGUCAACACUUCGAGAUGACCAACAAGGAUUCGGAGGACGACGGGGAUGAUGAAGACGUCUCUACAUGUCAACGAUGUGUCGACUGUGUGUGUGGUAUACCCAAAACUCACGGGAAGUCUCGCGAGACACCCGAGAUUUCCGAAGACCAGAGAAUUGACUUUCUGUAUCAGAGUUCAAGGUGGAAAACAGUCCUCAAUGUUAACGCAGCGAUUGCUUUCGCCAUUUUGGCGUUCCUCUUUGGCUUCUUUCAUUGAUACAACCUUAUGCAUCUUGACUCUACUGUCACAGAAGACAUAUCAUUGUCGCCAUAUCAACCAUAUUCAAACAUAUCAAGAUACCGUCGCCGUAGGUCAAGGUCAAGCGACGUCACCAGCACUUUACAAUCACCGUCGCCGUAGGUCAAGGUCAAGCGAUGUCACCAGCAUUUUACAAUCACAUCACCGGCACUGUUUAUGGACGACUAUAAAUACUUCAGGAACAAAUAUCCCCGUUUCAUGUGAUCGCAUUAUAUUAAUUUAAUAAAAAUUAUCUGAAACGUCA
rnacentral:misc_RNA from 1 species